CCUACGGGGGGCUGCUGUGGGGAAUAUUGGACAAUGGGGGGAACCCUGAUCCAGCCAUGCCGCGUGUGUGAAGAAGGCCCUCGGGUUGUAAAGCACUUUCAGUGAGGAAGAACGCCUGGUGGUUAAUACCCAUCAGGAAAGACAUCACUCACAGAAGAAGCACCGGCUAACUCCGUGCCAGCAGCCGCGGUAAUACGGAGGGUGCGAGCGUUAAUCGGAAUUACUGGGCGUAAAGCGCGCGUAGGUGGCUUGAUAAGCCGGUUGUGAAAGCCCCGGGCUCAACCUGGGAACGGCAUCCGGAACUGUCAAGCUAGAGUGCAGGAGAGGAAGGUAGAAUUCCCGGUGUAGCGGUGAAAUGCGUAGAGAUCGGGAGGAAUACCAGUGGCGAAGGCGGCCUUCUGGACUGACACUGACACUGAGGUGCGAAAGCGUGGGUAGCAAACAGGAUUAGAUACCCUAGUAGUC
rnacentral:rRNA from 1 species